AGAGAAGCUUGGGAGACGUGAGGAGACGAACACCCCUACAGCUAGGAGCGGCAGCGAGAAAUCACAGAGAAGCGGGCUGGUCAGAGAGGUGUCCAUCUCUCCACUCAGCCCCCCCGAAGAACCACCCACGGCCUGCUGUGUGAGACGGACUACAGGAUGGGAACUUGUAUGGCGGGGUAACUUGCCCCUCGACUGCCCGAGUGGCCGUCCUACCACUGCCCUGGUGGCCGAUAUACCGCUGCCCCAAGCUGCUCCCUACAUCACGACGAGCGCCCGCAUCUUCACACCACCGAGCUGCUCCCUCUCCACAACAAGCGGCGCCCGUCUGUCCAUCACCAGGACCGCCCCUUUCCCAUGUGGACGUCCCCUGCCGAGCCCGACGCUCACGCCAGCUCCUGCUUCUCUUCCUCCAGCAACCAGAGCUAAGCAUUAUGUGUAUUCCCCAAAUCUCCCUUGUGCCGGUAGCUAGUUAGAUUAGAGGCAUACAGCCUGUCAGUCAUUCAUUUUUUAGUACUCCGCUAACCUUUGAAAAAUGAAACUAAAUACAUAUUUAUAUACAACCUUA